GCUGGGCACAGUGGCAUGUGCCUGUAAUCCUGGUGACUUGGGAGGCUGAAGCAGGAGGAUUGCAAGUUCAAGACCAGCCUCAG
rnacentral:sRNA from 1 species